GAUGAACGCUGGCGGCGUGCCUAAUACAUGCAAGUCGAGCGAACAGAUGAGGAGCUUGCUCCUCUGACGUUGGCGGCGGACGGGUGAGUAACACGUGGAUAACCUACCUAUAUGUCUGGGAUAACUUCGGGAAACCGGAGCUAAUACUGGAUAAUAUAUUGAACCGCAUGGUUCAAUAGUGAAAGACGGUUUUGCUGUCACUUAUAGAUGGAUCCGCGCCGCAUUAGCUAGUUGGUAAGGUAACGGCUUACCAAGGCAACGAUGCGUAGCCGACCUGAGAGGGUGAUCGGCCACACUGGAACUGAGACACGGUCCAGACUCCUACGGGAGGCAGCAGUAGGGAAUCUUCCGCAAUGGGCGAAAGCCUGACGCAGCAACGCCGCGUGAGUGAUGAAGGUCUUCGGAUCGUAAAGCUCUGUUAUUAGGGAAGAACAAAUGUGUAAGUAACUAUGCACGUCUUGACGGUACCUAAUCAGAAAGCCACGGCUAACUACGUG
rnacentral:rRNA from 1 species